AGGCUCGGCGUUGGCCCCCGCGCCCCGUGCAAGUGCGCCCUUCUCGGGUGCCCUAGGUCGCGGGGCAGCUGGGGCGGAAGGGCUUGUUCAUUAUUUUGAGAGUUUGUUGUGAACGUCAUAACCCUUCGUCCUUAAAUAUUGCCGAUACUUGACCUACGCAAGAGACAAUGUCAUGUGAUUCAGCCUAAUAUCUCAGAGGAUGCAGCAUUCAAGGUUCUAUCUUGGAAGCAGAGACUGGGCCCUCACCAGAUGCUGAACCUGCUGAGCACCUUGAUCUUCCACUUCACCUUCAUCAGAACUACUGGGGCCGUGGCUGAGAUGUCACAUGGGAGAUAGGAUCACAAAUUUCUGUUGUAUCUGGAUGGAGAUCAGCAGGAGGAUCUAUGGACUGUUUGCUGUGAUUGCACCUGCCAUCUUAUGCAGAAAUGACCUGAAAACAGACUGAAACAACGUGUUCUACAGCCUGAAAAUAUCUACCUUGACUUACAGUUUCAUUAAUGCUGGUGUGAUCAGACUGGACAAAAAUUAGCAUAUGUUAUUAACUAAUCUAAUUCAAGUACCAAUUCUUAAUAGAAACAUAAAACAAUAAAAGCAAUUCAGAAAAUA